rnacentral:rRNA from 1 species
GACGAACGCUGGCGGCGUGCUUAACACAUGCAAGUCGAACGGUGAAGGUGGAGCUUGCUCCGCCGGAUCAGUGGCGAACGGGUGAGUAACACGUGGGCAACCUGCCCCUCACUUCGGGAUAACUCCGGGAAACCGGGGCUAAUACCGGAUACGACCUCCUUGGGCAUCCUUGGAGGUGGAAAGUUUUUCGGUGAGGGAUGGGCCCGCGGCCUAUCAGCUUGUUGGUGAGGUAGUGGCUCACCAAGGCGACGACGGGUAGCCGGCCUGAGAGGGCGACCGGCCACACUGGGACUGAGACACGGCCCAGACUCCUACGGGAGGCAGCAGUGGGGAAUAUUGUGCAAUGGGCGAAAGCCUGACGCAGCAACGCCGCGUGCGGGAUGAAGGCCUUCGGGUUGUAAACCGCUUUCAGCAGGGAAGAAGCCGCAAGGUGACGGUACCUGCAGAAGAAGCACCGGCUAACUACGUGCCAGCAGCCGCCGCCG